rnacentral:rRNA from 1 species
CCCGCUGAACUUAAGCAUAUCAAUAAGCGGAGGAAAAGAAACUAACAAGGAUUCCCCUAGUAACUGCGAGUGAAGCGGGAAGAGCUCAAAUUUGAAAUCUGGCGGCUUCGCCGUCCGAGUUGUAUUCUGGAGAAGCGUUUUCCGUGCUGGGCCGUGUACAAGUCCCUUGGAACAGGGCGUCGUAGAGGGUGAGAAUCCCGUCUUUGACACGGACUGCCAGUGCUCUGUGAUGCGCUCUCGAAGAGUCGAGUUGUUUGGGAAUGCAGCUCAAAAUGGGUGGUAAAUUCCAUCUAAAGCUAAAUAUUGGCGAGAGACCGAUAGCGAACAAGUACCGUGAGGGAAAGAUGAAAAGCACUUUGGAAAGAGAGUGAAACAGUACGUGAAAUUGUUGAAAGGGAAACGUUUGAAGUCAGUCGCGUCGGCCGAGACUCAACCUUGCUUCUGCUCGGUGCACUUCUCGGUUGACGGGUCAGCAUCAAUUUUGACCGCCGGAUAAAGGUCGGGGGAAUGUGGCAUCCUUCGGGAUGUGUUAUAGACCUCGAUUCGGAUACGGCGAUUGGGAUUGAGGAACUCGGCGCUUUGCGUCCAGGAUGCUGGCAUAAUGGCUUUAAGCGACCCGUCUUGAAACACGG